UUGAAGGGAAAAGCGUCACGAAUCCCCCGGGUGACACAGCAGUCGAUAGAAAUCUGGGAGACCACUUCAUGUAUAGUUUUUCCAGUCGUCUUAAUUUAAAAAGCAGCUUAAUGAACCAAACGCUGGGUUCCCUCCAGCUUUGAUGGAAUGAGGAUGAACACUCCUCGUUCCUUUGGACAUCCCAUUUGUGUGAUUGGAUGGUAACCUCAUGUGCUCCGGUCUCGAGUCCCAGCAGAAUUUGAGGCUGGUUUCUUCCAACCAGGGUGAUAAAGUUUUGAAAAAGCUCACUGUGUUUUUGAAACACCCUCAACUGUGUGUGCAGAUUUUUACCACCUGCUCACAUCUAGAUACCCGGUUACAAGUGGCCAAGUGGGAGCUGCACUCAGCCGCUGGGGAGGUCCAUGAGGAAAAGUUCUGGAAGCUGGAAGUCCAAGAGGUGUCAGUAGGGUUGGUACCUUCUCGAAGCUCUGAGGCAGAAGCCAUCCCAUGCCUCUCUUCGGUUUCCAGUGGUUGCCGGCCAUCCUUGGUGCUGCUUGCCUCCAACGUCACAUGCCACUCUACCUCUGUGUCUCCAUGUCUUCACACGACAGUCACAGAAUGAGUCUUGCAGCCUCAAAAGUCUCCGAAGUUAGUUGUAUGGAAUAACAUAAAGAAUUAAUAAGAAGUUUUGAAUUUCCUCACUACUCAAAAGACCCACAUGACUUCUUGCAGUCGGUGAAUCUAAUUAGAAGUGAGAAAAACAGAGAGAAGCCGUGCGGGACUUCUGCAUUCAUCUUACACCAAAAGAAGUCCCCAUUUCCAGGAACAUUUUGGAGUAGAUCUUGAGAAAAACCACUCCUUUUGUGAACCGUAAUGUGAUGGAUAAAAUUUUUGAAGCAUCUC
rnacentral:lncRNA from 1 species